rnacentral:SRP_RNA from 2 species
GCUGGGUGCGAUGGCUCACACCUGUAAUCCCAGCACUUUGGGAAGCCAAGGUGGGAGGAUUGCUUGAGCCCAGGAGUUCAAAACCAGCCUGGGCAACAUAGCGAGACCCCAUCUCUA